UACGAAGGGGGCUAGCGUUGUUCGGAAUUACUGGGCGUAAAGCGCGUGUAGGCGGGUCUUUAAGUCAGGGGUGAAAUGCCAAGGCUCAACCGUUGGAACUGCCUUUGAUACUGGAGAUCUUGAGUCCGGGAGAGGUGAGUGGAACUGCGAGUGUAGAGGUGAAAUUCGUAGAUAUUCGCAAGAACACCAGUGGCGAAGGCGGCUCACUGGCCCGGAACUGACGCUGAGACGCGAAAGCGUGG
rnacentral:rRNA from 1 species